GAACAUAUUCUCAGCUACCCGGAUCGACGAUCGAUUUCCCCGUUGGCAGUUGCGGGCGAUCCGACUUGGCUAAGGAGACUCGUUGACCUAUACCGGAAUAAGCAAUGCGCGAGAUCGGCGGGACUCCAGCGAAAGAUUACAUUCGGAAUGUACCAAUGAACGACUCUCCCCCCGUUGAAAAGUGUCACUGGUUCUGCCGGAAAAUUCUGCAGGCCGAACAGCCAUCAAAAUUUGGAAUGCAGAAAAAACAGAGCUGACAUUGCAGUCGGAUACCUCGAGGCUGAGCGAAUCGGAAAGGAUCUGAAGAACGAUACCACGAAUAAAUACUUCAACAUUCGAUAAAACGAGAUAAACGGGCGGUCCAAAGACCAGUUUGAUAUACCAUCGGAGGAACGAGACUAUCCUCGAGGCAUCUCCUGAGCCGAUCAUCAUAUGUUCGGAAUCUGCGAUUUUCAUGAAUGGGCUGAUAUAAUACCUCCUCUUACUUCGCUGUUCAUACUAUUGUGACCAAUUGAUCAUAAAAACCAAUGUAUUUGUGAGAAUAAAUCGCCGA
rnacentral:lncRNA from 1 species